rnacentral:rRNA from 1 species
GACCUCAGAUCAGGUAGGGAUACCCGCUGAACUUAAGCAUAUCAAUAAGCGGAGGAAAAGAAACCAACAGGGAUUGCCUCAGUAACGGCGAGUGAAGCGGCAACAGCUCAAAUUUGAAAUCCGGCUCUUGAGCCUGAAUUGUAAUUUGUAGAGGAUGCUUUGAUUUGGCUACUAGUUUAAGUUCCUUGGAACAGGAUGUCAUAGAGGGUGAGAAUCCCGUAUGUGACUAGAUUAGUCCUUAUCAUGUAAAGCUCUUUCAAUGAGUCAAGUUGUUUGGGAAUGCAGCUUAAAAUGGGUGGUAAAUUUCAUCUAAAGCUAAAUACUGGCCAGAGACCGAUAGCGCACAAGUAGAGUGAUCGAAAGAUGAAAAGCACUUUGGAAAGAGAGUCAAACAGUACGUGAAAUUGUUGAAAGGGAAGCGCUUGCAAUCAG